UGGGCGAGCUGAUCCAGCCAUGCCGCGUGUGUGAAGAAGGUCUUCGGAUUGUAAAGCACUUUAAGUUGGGAGGAAGGGCAGUAAGCUAAUACCUUGCUGUUUUGACGUUACCGACAGAAUAAGCACCGGCUAACAUCUGUGCCAGCAGCCGCGGUAAUA
rnacentral:rRNA from 1 species